ensembl:lncRNA
GCACACAUGCUUUCAGAUACAUGGACAUCUGUGCUGCAUACAGUUUCAGUCUGAAGACUGAAAAUAUUUUCAGACAUCAUUCUGUGUUGGAUCUGGAUUGGAAGAAUGAACCAAGACUUUGAAUCUUACUUCCUCCAUUUUGAUACAGGCCUCCUCAGAGUUUGCCGGUCAAGAGGCUAAGGGGUAGGACUAUAGUGAUGAUUGCUAAGGGAAGUGGACCUUAUUGAUCUUUCAGAAGUCACAUCUUUAAAAACUACUGGUGCUGAGGAGAGGAAACCGCAUCCUCAUCUGGCAGAGCUCCCAGAGGAUGUGAUCCUCUUGCCUUUUUGCUUUUGUUCUGCAGAAAGCCGCCUUUUUAAGGUACCCAUUAGGCUUUCACUCUUUGAUCUAUUUUGUUCUACCUUUUUCAUCUUCCCUGUUGCUAUCCCAGCUGGCCAUGUCUUUACCAUAGCAGCUACCAAAUAAGGAAUCAUGUUUUCCAAACUCACUGGCUAGUGAUGGUUGCUGUGCUACCAUGAAAUCAGUUUCAUCCUUUUAUUCAGGUUCAACGAUUUCUGGAAAGUUUUAAAACAAAGUUUCUUCGUUAUGACUGGUUAGCUAAUCCGGGAGGUGGAGGCCAAUCUCUCUCUGGAACAGUAUCCACAAACAUCUGAUGAACCUGCGGUGGUACAUCUGUGUAUUCUUACAGCUUCAUUGAACCGUUUGGCGGCGGUGGCCAGAGCGUGUCUCAGGCUCCCUCACUGAUUGCUGGCGCAACUGCUGCGAAAUAUGUAUUUGUUUCAAGCCGCUAAAUUGGUGGUAAUUUGCAAGACAGUAACAGAAAACUAAUACACCAUUAGCGGUGUUAUUAGGGUGGCAAAGUUUGGGAUUGCGGUGGAAGAAGCAUCUGGUUUGUUUUAGAUGAUUCUGAAUUUUGAAUUGCUACCCAUAAAAGGGAGAAAACAUAACAAAACACUAAACAGAAAUCGGUGUGAAAGAGAACACACAAAAGCACCCCCUUCAACGCCUAGAUCAGGCCUUCUUGGUCACCCUUCUCCAGCCUGAAGUGACUGUUCCCUCCUCAGAUAUUUACAGACACUGAUGUAUUUUAUCACCUUUAUAAUGCUCUUCUUUUUUAUGCUCUAGAGGCUGUCUGUGUCUAACUAACUGGGUUUCAAUUUCCUUGAGGGCAAAGAUCUUCUCUUGUUGAUUUUUCCAUCUCCCACAGUGCCUUGCACAGACUCUAGUAAAUGUUACUUG